GACGAACGCUGACGGCGUGCUUAACACAUGCAAGUCGAACGGAAAGGCCCUGCUUUUGUGGGGUGCUCGAGUGGCGAACGGGUGAGUAACACGUGAGUAACCUGCCCUUGACUUUGGGGUAACUUCAGGAAACUGGGGCUAAUACCGGAUAGGAGCUCCUGCUGCAUGGUGGGGGUUGGAAAGUUUCGGCGGUUGGGGAUGGACUCGCGGCUUAUCAGCUUGUUGGUGGGGUAGUGGCUUACCAAGGCUUUGACGGGUAGCCGGCCUGAGAGGGUGACCGGCCACAUUGGGACUGAGAUACGGCCCAGACUCCUACGGGAGGCAGCAGUGGGGAAUAUUGCACAAUGGGCGGAAGCCUGAUGCAGCAACGCCGCGUGCGGGAUGACGGCCUUCGGGUUGUAAACCGCUUUCGCCUGUGACGAAGCGUGAGUGACGGUAAUGGGUAAAGAAGCACCGGCUAACUACGUG
rnacentral:rRNA from 1 species